rnacentral:lncRNA from 1 species
UUGAAGUUGUUGUUGAAGAUUGAAUUUUGAAUGUUGUUGUUGUUGUUGAGAUGAAUGGUUUAAAGAUUAAUAUUGUUGUUGUUGAUUAUCCUAAUUAGUUUCAAAUGUUGUUCAAAUUAUAGGUGUUCAACGACCGGUUACAAAUCAUAGAAGAUAACUUUUGGAUGGCCUACAAGAAUUCACAUUUUAUUUUUUGUUUUUGUUGGUUAAUAAUUUAUUUUAUUUUUGUUGUAAUAUUAUAAGGUGUGUGUCAUUUUUACUUUGCAAUUGGUGUAAAU